GCACUGAUGGUUCACUGGUAGAAUUCUCACCUUCCAUAUGGGAGGCCUGGGUUCGAUUCCUGGCCAGUGCA
rnacentral:tRNA from 1 species